UACGUAGGGGGCAAGCGUUGUCCGGAUUUAUUGGGCGUAAAGAGCGUGUAGGCGGCCAUACAGGUCCGUUGUGAAAACUGGAGGCUUAACCUCCAGACGUCGAUGGAAACCGUAUGGCUAGAGUCCGGAAGAGGAGAGUGGAAUUCCUGGUGUAGCGGUGAAAUGCGCAGAUAUCAGGAAGAACACCCGUGGCGAAGGCGGCUCUCUGGGACGGUACUGACGCUGAGACGCGAAAGCGUGGGGAGCGAAUAGG
rnacentral:rRNA from 1 species